GAACAAGACUACCAUGAAAGGAAUUUCACAUGGAAAGAAUGCUUUCACAAGUCCCUUCAGCCCUAAGAGCAAACCAAAACUCUGGAGUCAAAGAAGGGGAUACUGGGAAAUCCUACAGGCUUCCACUUCUAGCAUCAUGAUCUCCUUGGCAGUGUUGGAAGAGGCGGGGCUGAGGCACCUACACUGGUAAGAACUUGGAAGUGAAUAUUAAACUACUAUAACCACAUUUUGGUGCUGAUACUGCAUUUUCCUGCUUUAUGGUCUAUGCUGAGCUGUUUGAUUGAACAACAGUCUGCUGUUUAA